UCGUGCGCAGGAGAUGGCAUUCCUCCUGCAUUUUCCCCAACCGCCGGACCGGCAGCGCUGCUUCCUGCUCCGGCUGAUGAUGCCUGCGAGUCC
rnacentral:ncRNA from 2 species